rnacentral:rRNA from 1 species
UCUGCCCGGUAGUGGGGGAUAACCUGGGGAAACCCAGGCUAAUACCGCAUACGUCCUACGGGAGAAAGCAGGGGAUCUUCGGACCUUGCGCUAUCGGAUGAGCCUAUGUCGGAUUAGCUUGUUGGUGAGGUAAUGGCUCACCAAGGCGACGAUCCGUAGCUGGUCUGAGAGGAUGAUCAGCCACAUCGGGACUGAGACACGGCCCGAACUCCUACGGGAGGCAGCAGUGGGGAAUAUUGGACAAUGGGCGAAAGCCUGAUCCAGCCAUGCCGCGUGUGUGAAGAAGGCUUUCGGGUUGUAAAGCACUUUCAGUGAGGAAGAAGGCCUUGGGGCUAAUACCCCCGAGGAAGGACAUCACUCACAGAAGAAGCACCGGCUAACUCCGUGCCAGCAGCCGCGGUAAUACGGAGGGUGCGAGCGUUAAUCGGAAUUACUGGGCGUAAAGCGCGCGUAGGCGGCGUGAUAAGCCGGUUGUGAAAGCCCCGGGCUCAACCUGGGAACGGCAUCCGGAACUGUCAGGCUAGAGUGCAGGAGAGGAAGGUAGAAUUCCCGGUGUAGCGGUGAAAUGCGUAGAGAUCGGGAGGAAUACCAGUGGCGAAGGCGGCCUUCUGGACUGACACUGACGCUGAGGUGCGAAAGCGUGGGUAGCAAACAGGAUUAGAUACCCUGGUAGUCCACGCCGUAAACGAUGUCGACUAGCCGUUGGGGUCCUUGAGACCUUUGUGGCGCAGUUAACGCGAUAAGUCGACCGCCUGGGGAGUACGGCCGCAAGGUUAAAACUCAAAUGAAUUGACGGGGGCCCGCACAAGCGGUGGAGCAUGUGGUU